AACGAACCGAUACUCGAUUAGAAAACUAGUAGACUGAUACACAGACUUGAAAGUUUACAUUAUCAAAUCUGCUUCUAAUUAGUGUCACAACCAUCUGGUAAAUAUUUGAUCAACCACAAAUGAUGCGGUCCACAUUUUUUCGCCUAAAUCUUGACACUGUCGUUACAUAUUCUUAAUUAAAUACAGUUUCUUCAUUCUGAC
rnacentral:lncRNA from 1 species